rnacentral:rRNA from 1 species
CAAUAGCGUAUAUUAAAGUUGUUGCAGUUAAAAGCUCGUAGUUGGAUUUCGGAGUGGGCCAGUUGGUCCGCCGCAAGGUGUGUUACUGACUGGUUUGCUCUUCUUCGCAAAGACUGCGUGUGCCCUUAAAUGAGUGUGCGUAGGAUUUACGACGUUUACUUUGAAAAAAUUAGAGUGUUCAAAGCAGGCUAUUGCUUGAAUACAUGAGCAUGGAAUAAUGGAAUAGGACUUUGGUCCCAUUUUGUUGGUUUCUAGGGCCGAAGUAAUGAUUAAGAGGGACAAUUGGGGGCAUCCGUAUUUCGUUGUCAGAGGUGAAAUUCUUGGAUUUACGAAAGACGAACAACUGCGAAAGCACUUGCCAAGAGUGUUUUCAUUAAUCAAGAACGAAAGUUAGAGGAUCGAAGACGAUCAGAU